GGGUUGUGAGGUUAAGCGACUAAGCGUACACGGUGGAUGCCCUGGCAGUCAGAGGCGAUGAAGGACGUGCUAAUCUGCGAUAAGCGUCGGUAAGGUGAUAUGAACCGUUAUAACCGGCGAUUUCCGAAUGGGGAAACCCAGUGUGUUUCGACACACUAUCAUUAACUGAAUCCAUAGGUUAAUGAGGCGAACCGGGGGAACUGAAACAUCUAAGUACCCCGAGGAAAAGAAAUCAACCGAGAUUCCCCCAGUAGCGGCGAGCGAACGGGGAGCAGCCCAGAGCCUGAAUCAGUGUGUGUGUUAGUGGAAGCGUCUGGAAAGGCGCGCGAUACAGGGUGACAGCCCCGUACACAAAAAUGCACAUGCUGUGAGCUCGAUGAGUAGGGCGGGACACGUGGUAUCCUGUCUGAAUAUGGGGGGACCAUCCUCCAAGGCUAAAUACUCCUGACUGACCGAUAGUGAACCAGUACCGUGAGGGAAAGGCGAAAAGAACCCCGGCGAGGGGAGUGAAAAAGAACCUGAAACCGUGUACGUACAAGCAGUGGGAGCACAGAGCAAUCUGUGUGACUGCGUACCUUUUGUAUAAUGGGUCAGCGACUUAUAUUCUGUAGCAAGGUUAACCGAAUAGGGGAGCCGAAGGGAAACCGAGUCUUAACUGGGCGUUAAGUUGCAGGGUAUAGACCCGAAACCCGGUGAUCUAGCCAUGGGCAGGUUGAAGGUUGGGUAACACUAACUGGAGGACCGAACCGACUAAUGUUGAAAAAUUAGCGGAUGACUUGUGGCUGGGGGUGAAAGGCCAAUCAAACCGGGAGAUAGCUGGUUCUCCCCGAAAGCUAUUUAGGUAGCGCCUCGUGAAUUCAUCUCCGGGGGUAGAGCACUGUUUCGGCAAGGGGGUCAUCCCGACUUACCAACCCGAUGCAAACUGCGAAUACCGGAGAAUGUUAUCACGGGAGACACACGGCGGGUGCUAACGUCCGUCGUGAAGAGGGAAACAACCCAGACCGCCAGCUAAGGUCCCAAAGUCAUGGUUAAGUGGGAAACGAUGUGGGAAGGCCCAGACAGCCAGGAUGUUGGCUUAGAAGCAGCCAUCAUUUAAAGAAAGCGUAAUAGCUCACUGGUCGAGUCGGCCUGCGCGGAAGAUGUAACGGGGCUAAACCAUGCACCGAAGCUGCGGCAGCGACGCUUAUGCGUUGUUGGGUAGGGGAGCGUUCUGUAAGCCUGUGAAGGUGUGCUGUGAGGCAUGCUGGAGGUAUCAGAAGUGCGAAUGCUGACAUAAGUAACGAUAAAGCGGGUGAAAAGCCCGCUCGCCGGAAGACCAAGGGUUCCUGUCCAACGUUAAUCGGGGCAGGGUGAGUCGACCCCUAAGGCGAGGCCGAAAGGCGUAGUCGAUGGGAAACAGGUUAAUAUUCCUGUACUUGGUGUUACUGCGAAGGGGGGACGGAGAAGGCUAUGUUGGCCGGGCGACGGUUGUCCCGGUUUAAGCGUGUAGGCUGGUUUUCCAGGCAAAUCCGGAAAAUCAAGGCUGAGGCGUGAUGACGAGGCACUACGGUGCUGAAGCAACAAAUGCCCUGCUUCCAGGAAAAGCCUCUAAGCAUCAGGUAACAUCAAAUCGUACCCCAAACCGACACAGGUGGUCAGGUAGAGAAUACCAAGGCGCUUGAGAGAACUCGGGUGAAGGAACUAGGCAAAAUGGUGCCGUAACUUCGGGAGAAGGCACGCUGAUAUGUAGGUGAAGUCCCUCGCGGAUGGAGCUGAAAUCAGUCGAAGAUACCAGCUGGCUGCAACUGUUUAUUAAAAACACAGCACUGUGCAAACACGAAAGUGGACGUAUACGGUGUGACGCCUGCCCGGUGCCGGAAGGUUAAUUGAUGGGGUCAGCGCAAGCGAAGCUCUUGAUCGAAGCCCCGGUAAACGGCGGCCGUAACUAUAACGGUCCUAAGGUAGCGAAAUUCCUUGUCGGGUAAGUUCCGACCUGCACGAAUGGCGUAAUGAUGGCCAGGCUGUCUCCACCCGAGACUCAGUGAAAUUGAACUCGCUGUGAAGAUGCAGUGUACCCGCGGCAAGACGGAAAGACCCCGUGAACCUUUACUAUAGCUUGACACUGAACAUUGAGCCUUGAUGUGUAGGAUAGGUGGGAGGCUUUGAAGUGUGGACGCCAGUCUGCAUGGAGCCGACCUUGAAAUACCACCCUUUAAUGUUUGAUGUUCUAACGUUGACCCGUAAUCCGGGUUGCGGACAGUGUCUGGUGGGUAGUUUGACUGGGGCGGUCUCCUCCUAAAGAGUAACGGAGGAGCACGAAGGUUGGCUAAUCCUGGUCGGACAUCAGGAGGUUAGUGCAAUGGCAUAAGCCAGCUUGACUGCGAGCGUGACGGCGCGAGCAGGUGCGAAAGCAGGUCAUAGUGAUCCGGUGGUUCUGAAUGGAAGGGCCAUCGCUCAACGGAUAAAAGGUACUCCGGGGAUAACAGGCUGAUACCGCCCAAGAGUUCAUAUCGACGGCGGUGUUUGGCACCUCGAUGUCGGCUCAUCACAUCCUGGGGCUGAAGUAGGUCCCAAGGGUAUGGCUGUUCGCCAUUUAAAGUGGUACGCGAGCUGGGUUUAGAACGUCGUGAGACAGUUCGGUCCCUAUCUGCCGUGGGCGCUGGAGAACUGAGGGGGGCUGCUCCUAGUACGAGAGGACCGGAGUGGACGCAUCACUGGUGUUCGGGUUGUCAUGCCAAUGGCACUGCCCGGUAGCUAAAUGCGGAAGAGAUAAGUGCUGAAAGCAUCUAAGCACGAAACUUGCCCCGAGAUGAGUUCUCCCUGACUCCUUGAGAGUCCUGAAGGAACGUUGAAGACGACGACGUUGAUAGGCCGGGUGUGUAAGCGCAGCGAUGCGUUGAGCUAACCGGUACUAAUGAACCGUGAGGCUUAACCUUACAACGCCGAAG
rnacentral:rRNA from 1 species